GCCAAAGUAGUGCAGUGGUUUGAGCACUGGGCUAUGACUCUGGAGAUAAAGGUUCAAUUCCCUACUUAGCCA